GUGCUUGCUUUAGCAGCACAUAUACUAAAACUGGAACUAUACAGAGAAGAUUAGCAUGUCCCCUGUGCAAGGAUGACAUGCAAAUUUGUGAAGCAUUGCACAUUAAA